rnacentral:rRNA from 1 species
AUUGAACGCUGGCGGCAUGCCUUACACAUGCAAGUCGAACGGCAGCACGGGGGCAACCCUGGUGGCGAGUGGCGAACGGGUGAGUAAUACAUCGGAAUGUACCCAGUAGUGGGGGAUAACUAGUCGAAAGAUUAGCUAAUACCGCAUACGCACUAUGGUGGAAAGCGGGGGAUCGCAAGACCUCGCGCUAUUGGAGCAGCCGAUGUCCGAUUAGGUAGUUGGCGGGGUAAAGGCCUACCAAGCCUGCGAUCGGUAACUGGUCUGAGAGGACGACCAGUCACACUGGGACUGAGACACGGCCCAGACUCCUACGGGAGGCAGCAGUGGGGAAUUUUGGACAAUGGGGGAAACCCUGAUCCAGCAAUGCCGCGUGUGUGACGAAGGCCUUCGGGUUGUAAGCACUUUGGCGGGAACGAAACGGCGCUUUCUAAUACAGAGCGCUAAUGACGGUACCCGCAGAAUAAGCACCGGCUAACUACGUGCCAGCAGCCGCGGUAAU